GACGAACGCUGGCGGCGUGCUUAACACAUGCAAGUCGAACGGAAAGGCCCUGCUUUUGUGGGGUGCUCGAGUGGCGAACGGGUGAGUAACACGUGAGUAACCUGCCCUUGACUUUGGGAUAACUUCAGGAAACUGGGGCUAAUACCGGAUAGCAGCUCCUGCUGCAUGGUGAGGGUUGGAAAGUUUCGGCGGUUGGGGAUGGACUCGCGGCUUAUCAGCUUGUUGGUGGGGUAGUGGCUUACCAAGGCUUUGACGGGUAGCCGGCCUGAGAGGGUGACCGGCCUCAUUGGGACUGAGAUACGGCCCAGACGCCUACGGUGGGCAGUAGGGGGGAAUAUUGCACAAUGGGCGCAAGCCUGAUGCAGCAACGCUGGGUUCGUGAUGACGUUCUUCUGGUUGUAAACCGCUUUCGCCUGUGACGAAGCGGGAGUGACGGUAACGGGUAAAGAAGCACCGGCUAACUACGUG
rnacentral:rRNA from 1 species